UAAUACGAAGGGGGCUAGCGUUGUUCGGAAUCACUGGGCGUAAAGCGCACGUAGGCGGAUGUGCCAGUCAGGGGUGAAAUCCCGGAGCUCAACUCCGGAACUGCCUCUGAUACAGCACGUCUUGAGUUCGAGAGAGGUGGGUGGAAUUCCUAGUGUAGAGGUGAAAUUCGUAGAUAUUAGGAAGAACACCGGUGGCGAAGGCGGCCCACUGGCUCGAUACUGACGCUGAGGUGCGAAAGCGUGGGGAGCAAACAGG
rnacentral:rRNA from 1 species